CCAGUGAAGAGUACUAGUUUGACUUAGUAAGAAAGACUGAACUGCAGUGCCAAAAUCAGUAGCUCUGCUCACCUUGAGUUCUGGCUGUCCAAAGGACAGUUCUCUGCAGGCACAGCUACACAGAGUUUGGCUUCCCGGCGCUGCUGAAAACGUCCUAGAAUCCCACCUGACUGGAGGUUGCUUUCCAUGCUUAGUCAGAAGUUCUGUGUAACCUUAGUUGAAAUGUAAGACCUGCACAGUGACUUCUGCUCUCUGACUGGGGGACAGGCUGCUGGGUUUGGGCGAGGUUUCUCUUCUCCUGAUGUUUUAAAUGUUCUCAGAAUCCAUAUGUAAAUCUUUAUCUACGGGAGAAAGCUCAAAAUAAACAAAAGAGAGAGCAGUUGGAACACUUGUGGAAGGACAUGGGCAGCGUGUGUGUGCAGGGCAGCACACUGGCAGGACCUGAUGCUUCUGCAAGGGGUCCCUCUGAGCUAAUACUAACACGAGGAACUCUUGAUGAAGAGCGAGAAGACAGGGAGAGUGACGCUGAUGGCAUUGACCAUGAAGGUAAGGGAAUGAGGUCUAAAAGCUGCCUCUCAAGAAAUCCCCUCUAUAUUUCAUGACCUGGAUGGACUGUAAGGAGAGCCUAGAAAACGAGCAAACAUUCAGUCACCUGACGUGUCAGAAUCUGUAGCAGAAGCUCCACUGCAAUGGUCAGCACGGGGAUAUCACUCUGUAACCUUUGUGAAAGUUCAAUUGUAAAUUUUCUAUUCAAGUAAUUAAGAGGUGUAUAACACACAUAAACCAGAGAACUCGUUAGGCUUGGGGCAUGCAGUGACCUCUGAACCUGAUUGAUGCACAGAUGUGUCCAUCAUCUUUUUGGCCUUGCAGUUUCUGCCCCUGGCUCUCUUCCCUUUUCCUGUGACUGUGGUCUUGGAGCAAUCUUCUAAGUUGUUACAGUGUGAUUUUUCUCUUAUAUA